rnacentral:rRNA from 1 species
GACGAACGCUGGCGGCGUGCUUAACACAUGCAAGUCGAACGGAAAGGCCCCUUCGGGGGUACUCGAGUGGCGAACGGGUGAGUAACACGUGAGUAACCUGCCCUUGACUUCGGGAUAACUUCAGGAAACUGGGGCUAAUACCGGAUAGGAAUCCUUGCUGCAGGGUGGGGGUUGGAAAGCUUCGGCGGUUUUGGAUGGACUCGCGGCUUAUCAGCUUGUUGGUGGGGUAGUGGCUUACCAAGGCUUUGACGGGUAGCCGGCCUGAGAGGGCGACCGGCCACAUUGGGACUGAGAUACGGCCCAGACUCCUACGGGAGGCAGCAGUGGGGAAUAUUGCACAAUGGGCGGAAGCCUGAUGCAGCAACGCCGCGUGCGGGAUGACGGCCUUCGGGUUGUAAACCGCUUUCAGCAGGGGCGAAGCUUGUGGUGACGGUACCUGCAGAAGAAGCACCGGCUAACUACGUG